rnacentral:misc_RNA from 1 species
GAAAUGCGAUAAGUAGUGUGAAUUGCAGAAUUCAGUGAAUCAUCGAAUCUUUGAACGCACAUUGCGCCCGCCAGUACUCUGGCGGGCAUGCCUGUCCGAGCGUCAUUUCAACCCUCAAGCCCUGCUUGGUGUUGGGGCCCUACGUCUCACGUAGGCCCUGAAAGGAAGUGGCGGGCUCGCUACAACUCCGAGCGUAGUAAUUCAUUAUCUCGCUAGGGAAGUGUGGCGUGCUCCUGCCGUUAAAGACCCCAUCUUUAACCAAGGUUGACCUCGGAUCAGGUAGGAAUACCCGCUGAACUUAA